UGGGGAAUAUUGCGCAAUGGGCGAAAGCCUGACGCAGCGACGCCGCGUGGAGGAUGAAGGUCUUCGGAUUGUAAACUUCUGUUAAGUGGGAAAAAAGACUUGUUCAUAAUACGAACAGGGGAUGAUGGUACCACUAGAGAAAGCACCGGCUAAACUCGUGCCAGCAGCCGCGGUAAUACGAGUGGUGCUAGCGUUAUUCGGAUUUAUUGGGCGUAAAGGGUGCGUAGACGGUGUGAUAAGUCUGUUGUUAAAUUCCUCGGCUCAACUGAGGAUCUGCGAUGGAAACUAUCAUGCUAGAGGAUGGAAGAGAGAAGUGGAAUUCUUGGAGUAGCGGUAAAAUGCGUAGAUCUCAAGAGGAACACCAAUGGCGAAGGCAGCUUCUUGGUCCACUCCUGACGUUGAGGCACGAAAGCGUGGGGAGCAAACAGG
rnacentral:rRNA from 1 species